rnacentral:lncRNA from 1 species
CUUGUUAUAUCCUCCAGAAAGUUUCCAUGCACGUAAAACAGAGCUUACAUUAUCUACAGGUUAUAAAAGAUAAUUUUCUGUUAUUUAGGAGUAAAAAUAUGUUCUCAUUGCCUAUGACGACUCAAAUUAUGCAGGUAAUCUCAAUAAGUUGGGUAUCUACAUCAUAGUUUAUCUUUACUCCAGGUGGAUGCUCUAUGAAUUAGAAGUUAAUGCUACAAGAUAUUGUCACAUUGUCAACCAAAUAAGUUGAGUGCAUUGCUAUAACUGAGGCUGCAAAAGGAACAUUUUGAUUCAACAUGUUGCUAAAUGAACUUUGAAUUAAUAGAUUUCAGAAUUGUGAUAGUCUAAGUGUAGUUUCUACUGUUU